rnacentral:tRNA from 1 species
GCAUUGGUGGUUCAACGGUAGAAUUCUCAUCUUCCACUUAGGGAGACCAGUUUUGAUUCCUGUCCAAUGCA